CCUACGGGAGGCAGCAGUGAGGAAUAUUGGUCAAUGGGCGAGAGCCUGAACCAGCCAAGUCGCGUGAAGGAUGACGGCCCUACGGGCUGUAAACUUCUUUUGUCAGGGAGCAAUUGGGUCCACGCGUGGGCUUAGCGAGAGUACCUGAAGAAAAAGCAUCGGCAAACUCCGUGCCAGCAGCCGCGGUAAUACGGAGGAUGCGAGCGUUCUCCGAAUUGAUUGGGUUAAAAGGGUGCGUAGGCGGAAUAUCAAGUCAGCGGUAAAGAUUCGGGGCUCAACCCCGUCGUGCCGUUGAAACUGAUGUUCUUGAGUGGGCGAGAAGUAUGCGGAAUGCGUGGUGUAGCGGUGAAAUGCAUAGAUAUCACGCAGAACUCCGAUUGCGAAGGCAGCAUACCGGCGCCCAACUGACGCUGAAGCACGAAAGCGUGGGUAUCGAACAGGAUUAGAUACCCGAGUAGUC
rnacentral:rRNA from 1 species